rnacentral:rRNA from 1 species
UACGGAGGAUGCAAGCGUUUAUCCGGAAUGAUUGGGCGUAAAGCGUCCGCAGGUGGCUAUGUAAGUCUGCUGUUAAAGAGUCUAGCUCAACUAGAUAAGAGCAGUGGAAACUACAUGGCUAGAGUGCGUUCGGGGCAGAGGGAAUUCCUGGUGUAGCGGUGAAAUGCGUAGAGAUCAGGAAGAACACCGGUGGCGAAGGCGCUCUGCUAGGCCGCAACUGACACUGAGGGACGAAAGCGUGGGGAGCAAACAGG